CUUCAGUUCUUAUUAAAACUCUCAAUUUUGCUGAUAAAGCUGUUUAUUUUGUGAUAUAAACGUAAAACAUUUUUUAUUGCACAAAAUAUUCAGCUGAAAUGGAUUUUAAUCUGAAAGUGCAGUAAGAACAUGACUCUGAGCUAGCAAUGGGACUCUGAGCUAGCCACGUGAGCUAGCAACAUGACUAAGCUAGAGUGACAGGCCAAAAGGGGGUGUGGUAUACUAUUGUUGCGAUGUCGUACCGUCGGGUUUGUAAUUGGCCGAUCGAAUUUGAUUUAAGCUCCGCCCUUUUUUGAUUCGGUGUUGUCUGUCGCUCGGCUACGUUCUGUACGACUGAGAGUAACUAGCAUGAAUUCAAAAAAUGUAUAGAACAUGUAUUAUCCAGCUUAUUUUUAAUAAACACUCAAUAAAACAUUCAUUAAUUUUGAAAAGGUCUUUAAACAUUGCAGUAUCGUGAUUAAUGUUUCCGGACUGAUGGAAUGUACUGGCAGUUACUGCGACGCUGCUGAAUCCUGGACUCUGAUUGGUCAGAAGGUGGUGUUGAUUAGUUUUCUAGAACAGCAGCGUAGGUUUAUAUUAUUGCGCUCGUUCCGAUACAUUAUCGUUUCUAUAGCAACAGCUAUUCAUUUUGAGAGGCCGGAGACAGAGAGACUUUUUAUAGCUGCUGUAACAUAAGUGAGAACAGGAACUGACCGGUUUAACAUGAAAUGGAUAAAAAAAAAAGUAUAAUUUUUUAAAUAAAUAGAAAUAUAUAAUCGAUUGCUGUAGUAGGAGAAGAUUAAAUCAUUUUGGGGCGUGCUGUUUUAGGAAAAAUACCACAUCGGGGUGUAAACAGCACUACACACACUGAUUUAUUCCUUACAUACCGCACCGGAUUGUUCGGGUCGUGUUGCCAAAUCUGUAUUUUAUCCACGCGGACAAUAAGCGGUUACAGAAUAUAGUGAGCAGAGCAUGCGCAGUGGAGGUCGUGCAGUUCAAACCUUCUACAUGAAUACACGGUAAAACUCUCACGAGGAAGGAGAAGAAAUCGAAAGGGAGAGUGGAGAGCGAGAGGGGGAGAGUUAGCAAAGAUCUUACGCGGCCAGAAAGCAGGAGGAUGUGAUACGCAAACGGUAAAUUUAUUUCAAUAAAUUAAUCGAAUGAAUAAAAAGCUCAGCCUGUAACAGAAGGUCAACAUCACUAUUAUCUCUACUACUGUAACUGAGGCAUUUAUUCAAGCAAUGCACCACAAACAGAGACGAGUAUACCACAGAGAAAUUUCACGUGAAGCGGAGCGUUCGCUCGGGCCGUGAGCGACGGAGCGGAGCGGAAUAUUGAGCCGCGUGUCGCUCACGUGCUCCGAAACUGAUAUUUAACAUGCACGGCUACUUCAAGAGGAACGGGUGCCAAUACUUUGUGGUGCGUUUCGACUCCUAUAAAGAAAGCGCGUCCCAGUAUGUUGACUCUAUAUAUCUCGUAAAUAAAAAUGAGAUAUUUUUGAACGUAUAGUAAAAUAACAUGAUUUGAUAACAUCGUAAACCGCGAUAAAAUACUGCGCAGUUGUCAUGAUAUGAAAAUGUAACUUCGACACACACCUGGUACGCAGAACGCACUUUAUCGCACAUCUGGGAAUGUUUGUGGCACUAAUAAA
ensembl:lncRNA